rnacentral:misc_RNA from 1 species
CCUCCGCCGGCGCCACCGUC